rnacentral:misc_RNA from 1 species
CAGAGUUCUCGCAACUCCCAAAACCCUGGCGAACCUACUGCGCGUUGCCUCGGCGGCUCACCCCGCCGGCGGCCCGCGCGACAACACCUGAAUUCUUAGUUACAGUUGACAGGUUGAGAACUCAGCCGAAUACGUUA